CCUCCUCGCGUCUGCCUCCCUCAACGCCUCUGCCUUUUCUCCCUCCCUUCAACCCUCCUCCCGCAGACCCACGUGGGACGUUUCGAUGACAGGCCCUGGAACAGGAGGACGCCCUAGCGGAUCUGCCACAGCUGAACACAAGCGGAUGCUGGGAUGCGCCUGAUGGACACAGUGCGCAUCCUGUGUAGACCCCCGCAAUAUCCGGGGUUCCGGGCUCGGCCUGUCAUCCGGUCCAGGAAAUAUGAGCCCCUAGGGAGCCUCUGCGUGGCUAAUCUGACUGCUGUCUCCUCUAGUGAGCUGCCAUCAAGGGAGGCCCUGUGGUACUUCCAGAAGCACCAGACAUAGGAAAAGACUUCCAAGAGGAACCCGGAGUUCUGAUCAUGCCCUACCCUCCUAUCAUUCAGGACUGCGUGGUGGGCAGUACAGACAGACAAAUAGACAGGCAGUACAGCAGAUCAAGUCACUGACCAAGCAUGAAAUCUGAGCUGCAUGAGAAAGCAGGAGAAUUCAUUAUUCCCUCAGUCAACUUUCUCCUUAAGUAUGUGAAAAUGAAAGAAGGGCAGACAAUUUUAGACAUAUGAAAUUAAAUAACAUAGGCCUAAAUAAAUACAUAAAUAAAAUAGUCCCUCGCAGUGUACAGUUCUGAAUAGCGGCAAGCUGUUAACAGCCUCGUCGUGUAUGUUCUAAGGCAAUGUGUGUAGAAAACUUUGGGCUAAGUGGUGUUUGUAAAUUUCACCUUUUGAAGCCUGUCUUUGUCCUUGAAUACCCCAAACUAUGACAAGGGCUUUGAAUAUUACCCCCUGCUAGUGAGAGGAGGGAAGGGGGAAGAGAAGGAUGUCACUUCCUCUGCUGCCCCUCCCCAGUAUGUUGACUAUUGGUGCUUUUUUUUUUUUUUUUCCUGAGAUGGGUAGAAUGGAAAAUUAGAGACCUAGACCCAGUCAUACAGGCUCUCACCCUCUCCAGUGCAAAGAAAGGCUGCUGAACUCAACCGUAAGCUGGCCAACAGGAGAGGACAUUUGAUAGCAUUGAGCAUGCCUGGUCGUGUUCUAAGGAAAGGGGAAAAAAAAAACCCUACUGCAGAUAAAUCGGAAUUUGUUUUCAGGUUCUGCCAUCUCCGGUGAUGAACUUAAUCUCCUUGAGCUUCAUUUUCCUCCAUCUCCGAAGGGAUAACUGGGACUGCAUUAACAUAGACUAAUAAAAGCAAACAAGCAGAGAGCACCUACCACGUUUGUAAACUGCCCCGGGCGCUCCAGACAAACUCAUAAUCAUUCUGUGAUGUUAACCGUUCAGAAAGAAUGGGACACAAGAAGUUACGUGACUAUAGCUUGGCCUCGGCACCCAUUUAAAUGCUGGGUUGGCUUAGUAGCACCACACCUAUAACCCUGUGGCUCAGGAAGCAGAGACGGGAGAUCCAUCCCUGGAACAGGCUGACUAGAUGGACUGGUUGAAUGAAUAAGGUGUGUGACCAAGCAAGAGACUCUCCACAGAUGAGGUAGAGAGAGACUGAGGAAGACACCAAAAGCAGCUGCACACAGUGCACGCUGUUUCAAAAGGACCACUCUGGUGGGCCAUUUCUGAGUGUUGCUUAUGCUUAAAGUUCUACGGACUAAACGCAGAUCCACAUACUCCCAAUUUCCAAGGAAAACUUUAUAGACCAUCGCAACCUAGUUGGGGUAUGCACUGGCCUGGGUAUUUAUGCUUCCUAAGGGACCUAAAGUUACGAUUUCGGAUAAAACCCAAUUCCGGCACACAUUCCAGUGCCAAAGGUUGUCCUAUUUUUUCCUCCCAAUGGAAAAUGCACUGAACCAAAAAGAAAUGUUUAUCUUGCUCAUGUACUGAAACGCUUAAACAGGGGAGAGCAAGCUUGGGUCUCACCCUAGCAAGUGAGUUCCAAAUAAAGCUAUCUUUACCCCAAACAUACUUCCAUCGAAAAUAGCACAUUGAACCCCACAGUGUCCAACAACAAGAAGGAAUUAUGUCAGUAGGGGUUCACCAGAGAAUUAGAACCCAUAGGGUAUGUGGACAGAGAUUUAUUUUAAGGGAUUGGCUUACACAACUGUGGGAGCUGGCAGGUCUCAGAUCCCCAGGGCAGGUGCAAGACAGUUCAGCAGGCUAGACCCAGGGAAAACUGGUACUGUAGUCUGAAGUCCCAGUCAGAUAUCCUUUCUCAGUCUUUUAAGACCUUCAGCAAGGAAGAGAAGGCACACCCAUGUCAUGAUUGGAGGACGCCUGCUUUACGUAAAGUCUUUGGUCUGAGUGCU
rnacentral:sRNA from 1 species